rnacentral:rRNA from 1 species
AUUGAACGCUGGCGGCAGGCCUAACACAUGCAAGUCGAGCGAGCGGCGGACGGGUGAGUAAUGUAUGGGGACUGCCCGAUAGAGGGGGAUAACUACUGGAAACGGUUGCUAAUACCGCAUACUAUCGGAUAACCCAUAUGGGAUUAGCUAGUAGGUGGGUUAAAGGCUCACCUCGGCGACGCUCUCUAGCUGGUCUGAGAGGAUGAUCAGCCACCCUGACACGGGGACCGGGCCCAGACCCGAAGGGAGGCAGCAGUGGGAAAUAUGGCACAAUGGGGGCAAGCGUGAGGAAGCCAUGCGGCGGGUAUGAAAAGGGCCUUAGGGUUGUAAAGGACUUUAAGCGGGGAGGGGUUACCCGCAGAAGAGGCACCGGCGAACUCGGUGCAAGCCGCCGCGGUAAUAC